ACGGGUGAGUAAUAUAUCGGAACAUGCCCUGAAGUGGGGGAUAACGUAGCGAAAGUUACGCUAAUACCGCAUAUUCUGUGAGCAGGAAAGCAGGGGAUCGCAAGACCUUGCGCUUUAGGAGUGGCCGAUAUCGGAUUAGCUAGUUGGUGAGGUGAAAGCUCACCAAGGCGACGAUCCGUAGCGGGUCUGAGAGGAUGAUCCGCCACACUGGGACUGAGACACGGCCCAGACUCCUACGGGAGGCAGCAGUGGGGAAUUUUGGACAAUGGGCGCAAGCCUGAUCCAGCCAUGCCGCGUGAGUGAAGAAGGCCUUCGGGUUGUAAAGCUCUUUCGGUGGGGAAGAAAUUGCUUCGGUUAAUACCCGGAGUAGAUGACGGUACCCGCAUAAGAAGCACCGGCUAACUACGUGCCAGCAGCCGCGGUAAUACGUAGGGUGCGAGCGUUAAUCGGAAUUACUGGGCGUAAAGCGUGCGCAGGCGGUUGUAUAAGUCAGAUGUGAAAUCCCCGGGCUCAACCUGGGAACUGCAUUUGAGACUGUACGGCUAGAGUGUGGCAGAGGGGGGCGGAAUUCCACGUGUAGCAGUGAA
rnacentral:rRNA from 1 species